rnacentral:lncRNA from 1 species
UGCCAACUGAAGAUAUGGGUACCUCUGGAGGUAUUCCAGCUGAUGUUGUGCAACCUAAGCCUAUGUUGGAAGUUGAGUUGCCAACUGAUGAUAUUCCAGCUGAUGUAGUGCCAACCGAGCCUAUAUUGGAAGUUGUGUUGCCAACUGAUGAUAAUGGGCCCGAUGAUAUUGCAACUAUUGUGGUGCAAAAUGAGGGUCAAGCUGCUGUUCCAGGCAGUCCAGUGAAGAAAACCAAGAGCUUGAGUGAACUGGGUGUUGUACAAUAAAAAAUAAGCACUCAUAAAAAGAAGAAGAAAAUGAGUGGUAAGGAGAAGCUGAAGUGAAAAUUUGUUCAAACUUGUGUAUCGGUACUAUGUUGUAAAAAUAAAACCUUGCGUGAAUAUGUGUAAUGGUAUUUUUACUUUGACAUCAUAUGUAUUGUGUAAUACUAUUUAAGUUUGAG